rnacentral:rRNA from 1 species
UAGUGGCGAACGGGUGAGUAACACGUGGGCAAUCUGCCCUUCACUCUGGGACAAGCCCUGGAAACGGGGUCUAAUACCGGAUAACACCUGCCCGGGCAUCUGGGUGGGUUAAAAGCUCCGGCGGUGAAGGAUGAGCCCGCGGCCUAUCAGCUUGUUGGUGAGGUAGUGGCUCACCAAGGCGACGACGGGUAGCCGGCCUGAGAGGGCGACCGGCCACACUGGGACUGAGACACGGCCCAGACUCCUACGGGAGGCAGCAGUGGGGAAUAUUGCACAAUGGGCGAAAGCCUGAUGCAGCGACGCCGCGUGAGGGAUGACGGCCUUCGGGUUGUAAACCUCUUUCAGCAGGGAAGAAGCGAAAGUGACGGUACCUGCAGAAGAAGCGCCGGCUAACUACGUGCCAGCAGCCGCGNUAAUACGUAGGGCGCAAGCGUUGUCCGGAAUUAUUGGGCGUAAAGAGCUCGUAGGCGGCUUGUCACGUCGGGUGUGAAAGCCCGGGGCUUAACCCCGGGUCUGCAUUCGAUACGGNCUAGCUAGAGUGUGGNAGGGGAGAUCGGAAUUCCU